UACGUAGGGGGCAAGCGUUGUCCGGAGUUACUGGGCGUAAAGCGCACGCAGGCGGUCUCUUAAGUUUGGAGUGACAGUUGGUGGCUUAACUGCCAAAGUGCUUCGAAAACUGAGAGACUUGAGGGCUUCAGAGGGACACGGAAUUCCGGGUGGAGUGGUGAAAUGCGUAGAGAUCCGGAAGAACACCGGUGGCGAAGGCGGCCUGCUGGGCAGUAGCUGACGCUGAGGCGCGACAGCGUGGGGAGCAAACAGG
rnacentral:rRNA from 1 species